rnacentral:rRNA from 1 species
UACGUAGGGGGCAAGCGUUGUCCGGAUUCAUUGGGCGUAAAGAGCUCGUAGGCGGCUUGGCAAGUCGGGUGUGAAAACUUCAGGCUCAACCUGGAGCGGCCACUCGAUACUGCCAUGGCUUGAGUCCGGUAGGGGACCACGGGAAUUCCUGGUGUAGCGGUGAAAUUCGUAGAUAUUCGCAAGAACACCAGUGGCGAAGGCGGCUCACUGGCCCGGUACUGACGCUGAGGUGCGAAAGCGUGGGGAGCAAACAGG